rnacentral:ncRNA from 1 species
GUUAAAUUUUAUUUUGGUUUAUAAAUUUAAUAUAUAUUUUCAGUUAUAUGCGAAUAUUUUGUGUGAAUUAUAAUUUAUAGUAAAUAGAUAUUUAUUUAAAUAAUAAAUUUUAACUUAAGUCUUAUAGAUGGAUAAAAUAUGCAAUAAUGAGUAUUUUACAAUAAAGGGAAUUUUGAUGUAGAAAUAUAUAAGAGUAUUGGCCAAAUUUGUGCCAGCAGCCGUGGUUAAACAGAUGAUGCCUUUAAAUUUAUUCGGUUAGUACUAAGUGUGAUUUAAAGUUUAAUUUAAAAUUAAAUUUAAUGAGUGAAAUUAGAAAUUUAAAUUAAAUUAAUUAAUUUAUAAAAUUCAAGGGUUACGAGAUUCUAAAAUUAAACUAGGAUUAGAUACCCUAUUAUAAAGAAUAUAAAUAGAAAUGCCUGAGUAGUAGUAGUUAUGCCCUUGAAAUUCGAAAGAUCUGGCGGUAUUUUAGUCUUCUCAGAGGAACCUGUCCUAUAAUUGAUGAUCCACGAUUAAUCAUACUUAAUUUACAAGUUUGUAUAUCGUCGUAGUGGAAUGUGUUUGAAAGGCUUAUGGAACGUUCAUUUGUCAAGAUUGUGAAUUAAAUCAGAUCAAGAUACAGCCUAUAAUUGAGGAGAGAUGGGUUACAAUAAAUUUAUUUAAAUGGUUAUAAUAAUUAAAAUUAUUAUAUAAAAUGGAUUUGGAAGUAAUAUAUUUAACUUAAAGUGUAUGACUAUAGCUCUAGAAUAUGCACAUAUCGCCCGUCGCUUCCACCGAACCCUAAGGUGGAAUAAGUCGUAACAUAGUAGGUGUACCGGAAGGUGUACCUAGUUAGAA